AAUCCAUAGGUUAAUGAGGCGAACCGGGGGAACUGAAACAUCUAAGUACCCCGAGGAAAAGAAAUCAACCGAGAUUCCCCCAGUAGCGGCGAGCGAACGGGGAGGAGCCCAGAGCCUGAAUCAGCAUGUGUGUUAGUGGAAGCGUCUGGAAAGGCGCGCGAUACAGGGUGACAGCCCCGUACACAAAAGCGCAUGUGCUGUGAGCUCGAUGAGUAGGGCGGGACACGUGGUAUCCUGUCUGAAUAUGGGGGGACCAUCCUCCAAGGCUAAAUACUCCUGACUGACCGAUAGUGAACCAGUACCGUGAGGGAAAGGCGAAAAGAACCCCGGCGAGGGGAGUGAAAAAGAACCUGAAACCGUGUACGUACAAGCAGUGGGAGCACCCUUCGGGGUGUGACUGCGUACCUUUUGUAUAAUGGGUCAGCGACUUAUAUUCUGUAGCAAGGUUAACCGAAUAGGGGAGCCGGAGGGAAACCGAGUCUUAAUUGGGCGUUAAGUUGCAGGGUAUAGACCCGAAACCCGGUGAUCUAGCCAUGGGCAGGUUGAAGGUUGGGUAACACUAACUGGAGGACCGAACCGACUAAUGUUGAAAAAUUAGCGGAUGACCUGUGGCUGGGGGUGAAAGGCCAAUCAAACCGGGAGAUAGCUGGUUCUCCCCGAAAGCUAUUUAGGUAGCGCCUCGUGAACUCAUCUCCGGGGGUAGAGCACUGUUUCGGCUAGGGGGCCAUCCCGGCUUACCAACCCGAUGCAAACUGCGAAUACCGGAGAAUGUUAUCACGGGAGACACACGGCGGGUGCUAACGUCCGUCGUGAAGAGGGAAACAACCCAGACCGCCAGCUAAGGUCCCAAAGUCAUGGUUAAGUGGGAAACGAUGUGGGAAGGCCCAGACAGCCAGGAUGUUGGCUUAGAAGCAGCCAUCAUUUAAAGAAAGCGUAAUAGCUCACUGGUCGAGUCGGCCUGCGCGGAAGAUGUAACGGGGCUAAACCAUGCACCGAAGCUGCGGCAG
rnacentral:rRNA from 1 species